CUGCAAAAUCUGCAAAAUCAAUUGAAGCUUCUCCAAGAUAACCUGAUUUUGAAGAUCCCUGAAAGAACUCAUAGGAAUUAGAAUACACAAAAACACCUUCUAAAUCUUAGGAAAGAAAAAUCUUUUAAGUUGACUAUAACUUACACUAGACACAAUGAAAUGAUAUAUUUUCUCAUCCAGCUUUCCUGUUUUUGCGUGCCUAACGAGUUUUACUGUUACAAAGAUAGGAUUUUCCCAUAAACAGGUUCCAUCGUCAACUGCUGCUUUCUCCAGUUUGAAUGUUGUCUUUCCAACAUCCUCUGGCAACAGAGAUAUAGUCAAUGCUGGUUUCUUCAACUGCGGCACCUGAACCAAAAAGGAAUAUCAAAUUGUUGGGGCAAAGAAUUUUGUUCAAGUAAAAGGGGAAAAAAAAAAAAAAAAGGUUUGCGCAGAUGAGCUUA